rnacentral:lncRNA from 1 species
GGAGAUAACUGCGCAAGCUACUGCCUUGCUAGUGCUGGUGAUGCUCAGCGCCGCGGAGGACAAUGGCCGGGGAUCCCCUUUGUUUUCCGGGGCUCCGGGACAGCCCGAUCGGCCGGCCAGCCGGCGCGGAAACCGUUAGCUAGCCGCAUUCCCGCAGGGGCUACGGGCGGUGGCGGCGGCCGCGGCGCCUUCCGUAGCCCGGGGGAGAGCGAAGCCUUCGGAAUUGCUCCGGGAGAGGAGGAGAGGGAGCCGCGGAAGACGCGGCUCAACUUUCCGCCUCGGAUAAUUUUAACUCGUGCAGGAUUUUAGUUCGACCGCGGUGGGGUUUCGUUCUUGAGGUGCACGGCGGAGCGGGCGAGCGGCUCCGCGAUGCACAACUGCGGUCGCCGUCAGAACAGUCAAUGCUGGAAUUCCAAACUUUUACGUCUCGACGCUUUUUGGAUCUGGGUUAUUAUAUGGCCGCUACGUUUAAGAGUUUAAAAUGUAAGCCCGAAGCAGAGUAGAGUUUCGGUUUUAACUGUUUAUAACUCCUUAAAACAGGGUUGACUUUUAUAGUUAAAUGCACCUUUCGAAUCUUUUUUUAAAUGUGUAAAGCUAAAUAAAUUCUUUUUACUGAA